GGGAACAUAACUCGAGUGGUUGAGACGUUGGACUACUGAUCGGAAGGUCGUGAGUUCGAGUCCCAUCACUGCGG